GAUGAACGCUGACAGAAUGCUUAACACAUGCAAGUCGAUGGGGAAGUGGUGCUUGCACCAUGGUAACCAUGGCGGACGGGUGAGUAACGCGUAGGGAACUUGCCUGCGGGACUGGGAUAACAGCAGGAAACUGCUGAUAAUACCGGAUAAGGUCAUUAAGCUGCAUAGCUUAGUGAUGAAAGGAGACGCCUGCGGAGAGCCUUGCGUCCUAUUAGCUAGUUGGAGGGGUAACGGCCCACCAAGGCGAAGAUAGGUAGCCGGCCUGAGAGGGUGGACGGCCACAAGGGGACUGAGAUACGGCCCUUACUCCUACGGGAGGCAGCAGUGGGGAAUAUUGGACAAUGGGGGCAACCCUGAUCCAGCAAUUCUGUGUGCACGAAGACGGUUUUCGGAUUGUAAAGUGCUUUCAGCAGGGAAGAAGGAAGUGACGGUACCUGCAGAAGAAGCGACGGCUAAAUACGUG
rnacentral:rRNA from 1 species